GGCACUGUCACCCAGGCUGGAGUGCAGUGGCGUGAUAUCUCGGCUCACUGCAAGCUCCGCCUCCGGAGUUCACGCCAUUCUCCUGUCUCAGCCUCCUGAGUAGCUGGGAUUACAGGCGCCUGCCGCCACGCCCAGCUAAUUUUUUGUAUUUUUAGUAAACACGGGGUUUUACCAUGUUAGCCAGAAUGGUCUUGAUCUCCUGACCUCAUGAUCUGCCCAUCUUGGCCUCCCAAAGUACUGGGAUUACAGUCGUGAGCCACCCCACCCGGCCGAUGGUUGGUUUCUUAAGAAAGGUACUCAGGUCAGAAUGUGGAAUCCAAAGACGAAAUAGAAAGCAGAUAUGUCUCAUCCUGCUGAGGCUAACUGAACAUUCUGUAUACCUCUGGGAGAGAUCUUCUAUGUACAUGAACAUAGACAGAGUCUCACUCUGUUGCCCAGGUUGGAGUGCGAUGACACGAUCUUGGCUCACUGAAUCCUCCACCUCCUGGAUUCAAGCAAUUCUCCUGCCUUAGCCUCCUGAGUAGCUGGGACUACAGGCGUGUUCCGCCACACCCAGCUAAUUGUUGUAUUUUUAGUAGAGACGAGGCUUCACCAUAUUGACCAGGCUGGUCUCAAACUCCUGACCUCAGGUGAUCCACCUGUCUCAGCCUCCCAAAGUGCUGGGAUUAUAGGUGUAAGCCACCACGCCCAGCCUGUAACAGUUAACUUUAUAUGCCAACUUGACUACACCAUAGGGUUCCCAAAUUAAACAUUAUUUUUGAAUGUGUCACUGAGGUUUUUUCCAGAUGAGAUUGGCAUUUGAAUUGGUGGGCUGAGUAAAGCAGAUGGCCUUCUCAAAUGUGUGUGGGCAUCAUCCAAUCGAGGGACUGAAUAGAAAAAAAUGGCAAAGGAAGGGGGAAUUUGUCCUUUGCUUUCUUCCUGUCUGCAUGAACUGGGACA
rnacentral:lncRNA from 1 species